rnacentral:lncRNA from 1 species
GUAUUGCACACACAAAAGCAAAUGGAGAUGCCUGAGGUUUGGAUGUGAGAACAGGGAAUGGCCACGGGAUGCCUCGCAUGUGGGACACAACAGUCGGGAGGACAGAGUGGAGGAAGAGGCACAAAAAGCCACCAGUGCCCCAAGACUGAGCCCUGUCCCCUCUGGCACCGAGGAACAGAGAAGAGUGAUGGGAAGUACCAUCCUGCACAUAUGCUGUAAAGGAACUGAGGACCCAAAUUCCCAGCAGUGGAGAUGAGAAUCACUGGGAGACAUGAAGGAACUGAGCUCUGCAAAACCAACUCAGGAAAAGAUGAUCCUGGAGCCAUUCUCCAGCACAAUGUGGGGAAGAGCAGCAGGAAAGAGGGAGGAUCAUUUGAACCCCAGGAAGAAUCCACUGAGCUGCAGCUCAGGGGAAGCAGGUGGGCCAGAAGGACACCCACCCCUCCCACUGCUACCUUUCUCCAGCCACCCCCAGCUGCCCUUCAGGAGUCUCCUUGGACAUGUCUGCUGGGGAGGCAGCUACGAGCACACCUGUGUAAACAAGGAAAUAUGUUUCCCUGCAAAGCUCCCGAUCACCAGAGCAGCUCAUCCAAAGUCCAGCUGCUUGGGGAUUUAUUGCCCAGUGAGGCAAAUUGCUUUCUCUCAGUUGUUCCCACUGCCACUCGCUGUGUUUGUCGGGUAAGUGUAGAACAACAAGGUUCAGGAGCCCUGGAGACAACACAAGGAGUUACAGCUCACCAGAAGGAGUGGUGAGCCCAUGAACUUUGCCUCCCUGAACACUGCCCUGCUCUGGAGAGAGCUUUACAACCCUUCCCAAAAGCCCUGCUGAGCCAGGCCCAACCCUUCUCCUUCCAAACACCAAACUCCAAGGUUUCUAAAUAUGCCUGGCUCUUUCAGAUUAAAAUAAUCAUUCAGGAGAUUUGUUUUUCCAGCUGUAUUUACACCUUGGUGGCUACAAAUCUCCCUGUGCCACUUUUCUCUGGGGGUUGUCUUGACCUUGUAAGAAAUGAGCGGUCACCUCUUGAUAUGUCCCACUGCCAAAUACAGCUGCACUCUCACUUGGAUUGAGGCAGUGAGAUAUAUAGAACAAGAAAAAUGAAAACCCCUUGGCCCUGAAAUUCUCCAAGGCUUGGAGAGGCUGAAUGGUUGUGCAACACCAGAAUGGUUACUAAAGAACACGUGGGAAAUGGUGACUAGCUUUGGACAAUACCAGAGCAAUUCCUGUCCACACAGUGGAGGCUGCAAACCCCACAGAUCAAGUAUUACCUACCUGAGCUUCAGCCAUUUAAUCCUCAGGGCUCAGAAACACCUGCAAAAUGCCAGCCAGGGUCAGAGGUGUUGGCGAACAACGCACUCAGGCCAGGCUAAACCCCUCCAAACUGCAGGAAACAGCCCAGAACCACCGCUCAGGAAAGGUGGAGGCGGCUGGAGCGGCAGUUCCCUUCCCCCGGUGUUAUUAGCCCCGGCCACUCAACCGCGUGUCCGUGCCUGCUUAUCCUUAGCAACAACCAUUGUGCGCUCUCCCGGGCCCUGAAGCGCCUGCCCGGCCGCCAGCUUUCAUCUGCUGUGGCAAUGCUGUUAAGUGCUCUCAAAGGAGCCUUUCACGGCGCCAGGAACCCCCCGGCACCUUCCAGAACCUUCCCUCGCUGCCGCCUCUCGCUUCAGCUCCCGUCAGCCGCCUCAGUGCUGCACGGACACGCUGCGGCUGAGGGGAAAACGGGACCAGGAAGGGGUGGUAGCGCUGAUGGAGGGC